AGACUCCAAAAUGGCAGCCGCGCAGAGCGCGCACCCAAGCGGCCGGACCUCCCCGACUCCCGGGCCGCCCCCGUCUCGCGCCCUGCCUCCCUCCUUCGGCCUUCACCUACCCGCCUCCGGAUUGGCCGCUAGGAAUCCCGCCCCUCUAAAGCCCUGCCUGCUAUUGGUCACGGAAAUGCUCACUUUCAACCAUGAGAGGAAUAACAAGGAGAGGUCAACAGAUGAGACACCUGGCUCUGCCUUUCAACUUCCUGGGUGACCAAAAGCAUGUCACUCAGCAUCCCUGGGCUCUCUUACCCAUCUGUGCGUAAUUGCUUCUCUCCACUGCAGCUGUGACUCUGUGAACAACUCUGAAAGUCUUGCUCUGUCACCCAGGUAUGACCUCUGCUCACUGCAGCCUCCACCCCCAGGGUUCAAGUGAUUCUCCUGCCUCAGCCUCCUGAGUAGCUGAGAUUACAGCAGGUCAGCACCUAGUCUUACGGUGUUGCAAGCAUACAAUGGCACAAAGUUUUGGAUGAGCUUGUUAAAUGCUGAAUACAUGAAGGAGAUUAUUAUUCUAAGUGGCACACGAAGAAUUUAUUCAACAAAGCUGUAUUGAUGAUUUACUCUCUGCAUCAGCUCCUGGGACUGCAAGUAUAAAAGUGAUUCAGACCUUGCCCUUGGGAAGCCGGGGAGAGACUCAAAUAGCUAACAGCAGGGUAAAUAGUGUUCCUGGAGUUGUGCAGUGGGCAAGUUCUGAGCCCACCUUUGCUGGGGAGGCUCUGCAGCGCCAGGCACAGCGAUGGACCCAGGAUGUGAGAUUCUUUCCUGGAACAAUCCCACCAAGCCUGCAAGGUGAGGAAGGAAAUUGAACACGCCCCUCCUGAGCUCCUCAGGUGCACCUCGUGCUGCUGUCCUGGGGCCAUCUCCCAACUCCUCCCAACCCCUCAUAGCCCUGCUCUGGAGCAGGUAAAUAUUCCUCACGCCAGCAGGUGAGGAGGCUGGGGCCAGAUGACAGCUAGUGAGGGAGCAGAGACAAGACAAGGCGAGCCUGUGACAGAGCGAGACCCUGUCUCAAAAAACAAAAACAAGACAUGUGAGCUUGGACUCCAGUGUGGAAUCCCAUGUCCGCUCAGUGCACCUUUCUGCCGCUGAAAGUACAAGAGGAGAGGGGAAACCCACAGGUGGAGCUGACCAUGAGGACUGUCACAGGGAACUCUUUGAAUAAGAGGACACCAGAUCAUGCCUGCAGUUCCAGCCCAGGAGCAACUAGCACCAGCCUCAGCAUGGAGCAGGACUUCAGUUCCAGCAGCGAGGACUGAGAUCAGACACAAGAGAAAGCUCCCUGAUGAGGAGGGGUGAUUCUAAAACGAAGGGCGGAAAUUAUCUGGGGAAUUUCCUUCCCGUGAAGCCUCAGGAACAUGCCAGUCCCCCACUUCGGUCUGUCCUGGGGGGUCUCACGCCCCUGUCCUCCUAGAGAAAUCUAGAUCCUCCAAACUCUGCCUGGGUUCUUCCUGGGGAGUCUUGACCCCUGCCUUGUGGUUGAUGUGGGAUAGGGGACCCGGGAACAGGGCUGCCUUCCUCUGGCCAAGGCCUGGCAAGCAAGUGUGGGAUGGGUGCUGUCUUCCUGAGAGGGACAAUAGAAGUGACAGAGCCCCCUAAUUCAAGACCCUGCAGAGGUGGUGUGAGAUCUUAUAAUAUCAGUCUCUAAGCCAGUGCCUCUCAAGCUCUCUUUGGUGAAGAAUCAAUUUUUAAAAUAUAUAAUCAGUCACAGAUCAAUGCUUUUGUAAAAUGCAAUAAAAGUUAAUUUCCAAAAAAAUCACAUACUUGGGUACCAUGGUAAUGUCAAUGUAAAAUUGCUGUAAAAUUGUUCUAAGUGCUUACUCUCAAUGUCUGUGCUCAGCUUAUCAGCAACCAGUAACAGUUUGUACCACUGGUUUGUACCACGACAACCAUGCUACACUUGGA
ensembl:lncRNA LINC01118 long intergenic non-protein coding RNA 1118